UACGUAUGGUGCAAGUGUUAUCCGGAUUUACUGGGUGUAAAGGGAGCGCAGGCGGUGCGGCAAGUCUGAUGUGAAAGCCCGGGGCUCAACCCCGGUACUGCAUUGGAAACUGUCGUACUAGAGUGUCGGAGGGGUAAGUGGAAUUCCUAGUGUAGCGGUGAAAUGCGUAGAUAUUAGGAGGAACACCAGUGGCGAAGGCGGCUUACUGGACGAUAACUGACGCUGAGGCUCGAAAGCGUGGGGAGCAAACAGG
rnacentral:rRNA from 1 species